UCAAAGAAAAGUUCAGAGCACAAACCUGCCCGAAGGCAAUGCAAUCCGUUGAGGAAGCAGCAUAAGGUAGCGAUGCCUUCACCAGAUUUGUAUGAUAGCUGGACUUGGCCGGAUCCUGAAGCCAUUUGAUAAGUUUGGAAGAGGCGUGAUAAGAAGGUGACGAGGGCAGAAGAUAUGGAACAAAGAGGAGUCUGAAAUUUGGAAGAAAUAGAGUAUAUGGGAAGGUAGGAAAUUCU
rnacentral:lncRNA from 1 species